GUGGGGAAUAUUGCACAAUGGGGGAAACCCUGAUGCAGCGACGCCGCGUGAAGGAAGAAGUAUCUCGGUAUGUAAACUUCUAUCAGCAGGGAAGAUAAUGACGGUACCUGACUAAGAAGCCCCGGCUAACUACGUGCCAGCAGCCGCGGUAAUACGUAGGGGGCAAGCGUUAUCCGGAUUUACUGGGUGUAAAGGGAGCGUAGACGGCGCAGCAAGUCUGAUGUGAAAGGCAGGGGCUUAACCCCUGGACUGCAUUGGAAACUGCUGUGCUUGAGUGCCGGAGGGGUAAGCGGAAUUCCUAGUGUAGCGGUGAAAUGCGUAGAUAUUAGGAGGAACACCAGUGGCGAAGGCGGCUUACUGGACGGUAACUGACGUUGAGGCUCGAAAGCGUGGGGAGCAAACAGGAUUAGAAACCCCUGUAGUCC
rnacentral:rRNA from 1 species